GAUGAAGAACGUAGCGAAAUGCGAUAAGUAGUGUGAAUUGCAGAAUUCAGUGAAUCAUCGAAUCUUUGAACGCACAUUGCGCCCCUUGGUAUUCCAUGGGGCAUGCCUGUUCGAGCGUCAUUUGUACCUUCAAGCUCUGCUUGGUGUUGGGUGUUUGUCUCGCCUCUGCGCGUAGACUCGCCUCAAAACAAUUGGCAGCCGGCGUAUUGAUUUCGGAGCGCAGUACAUCUCGCGCUUUGCACUCAUAACGACGACGUCCAAAAGUACAUUUUUACACUCUUGACCUCGGAUCAUGUAGGGAUACCCGCUGAACUUAAGCAUAUCAAUAAGCGGAGGA
rnacentral:misc_RNA from 1 species